rnacentral:tRNA from 1 species
AAGGGUUUAGCUUAAUUAAAGUGUUUGUUUUGCAUACAGAUGAUGCAGGUUUAUGAGCUUGCAAUCCUUA